rnacentral:lncRNA from 1 species
AUAAAUAAUGUGGCUUUCAGCAACUCACUGUUUGACAAAAAAGCUGCAAAGCUUUUUAGAUGUUGCAGUUAAAUUUAAAGUCAUGGUUUCUUUCUAUCCAAUAUGUGGUGUCAUUUAAACCUUCAAAGAGAUAAUAGUGUUGUAUAUUUAUGUACAAAUAUAUAACAUAGGUCACAAGAACAAUAAACAUGAAUACCAGACCAAACAUCAUCAACAAGACAAUAAACCUCGACAGAAAUCAUUCAUAAAUGAAACGCAGACUAAGAGAUAAAAGACCGUUUAAUUAUGAAAUUCAUAAUGAUCACGAGUGAAAACAUGAACUAUGGACAAUAGACUCUGCUGAAUGAAAUCACCAUACCAAUUCUUCCAUCAAACUAAGAAAUGCUAAAAAAAAUGAAAAAAAGGAACCCACUUCCAAUUCAAAACCGUAUUGACAAGAGGCAAUACUUCACAGAAUAAGAAAUAUAGGAAACAAUAAUUAAAAAUUCUUCUUUACUGAAAGAUAAUAGAAUUUCAAUUUUUUUAUUGAUCUGAAUUUCCAUGACAGACAUUCUAUGCUUCUCAAGCAUCCAUAAUGGAAGCAAAAUACGAGCUGAGAAAAAAAUAAAAUUUUGGAAAAUUUAUGCCUUAGAAGAAAAGUCUAAAAGAACAUCACUAAUGCCCUCCCAACUUUUGAAGUUUCAUACCUGCCAAAUUAAAAAGGAAAUCCUUCUUAGAAAAUCCAAGUUCGUAAGCAAAACUGUAAAAUGGCAAUGCUCCAAAGUUCUAGUUUAUCUUAAACCAGUUUACUAACCCAUUAUUCAUAACGAAACAGAAAACCACCGCUGGAAUAUGCAUAAUUGCCACAACAGUUAAACCUACCCAACUGUGCUAUAAUCUAGCUGGAAUAAAAAACCACCAAUCUAGUCUCUAAACUACCACUCUCUCCAAUUUAGUACCUAAAUGAUAUACAUAUGAUAAGUAGUCCCGAGUAUAUGAAACCCGUAUAUGAAAAUCCUUCAAUUUAGUCCCUGACAUCUUAAUAACAGGGACUAAGUUAACAGAUUUUAUAUACUUUAAGGACUAAAUUGAAGAGUGAGCAAUAGUAGUUUAGGGACUAAAUUGAANAUCUUAAACCAGUUUACUAACCCAUUAUUCAUAACGAAACAGAAAACCACCGCUGGAAUAUGCAUAAUUGCCACAACAGUUAAACCUACCCAACUGUGCUAUAAUCUAGCUGGAAUAAAAAACCACCAAUCUAGUCUCUAAACUACCACUCUCUCCAAUUUAGUACCUAAAUGAUAUACAUAUGAUAAGUAGUCCCGAGUAUAUGAAACCCGUAUAUGAAAAUCCUUCAAUUUAGUCCCUGACAUCUUAAUAACAGGGACUAAGUUAACAGAUUUUAUAUACUUUAAGGACUAAAUUGAAGAGUGAGCAAUAGUAGUUUAGGGACUAAAUUGAAGGUUUAUUCAUUCUAGCUACUUCAUAUUAAGAAAAAAGCUAUUAUUUUUUUGUUGCCUUUGGCAUCGCUUUGAACAUAAAAUUACUAUUUUUGGUGUGAACCAGAUACCCUAAGUACGCAAUUGCAUAGACUAAUCCCUCGAGCUAGAGCCAAGGGGACCACAAUGGAUGUGCAUCAAAAUACUAUAAUGACAAUAAAUCAAUAUUGGCAUGCCAUGACCCAAAUUACCCAUAAACGUUUCUUCAGAUAAAAAAACAAACUUUAACGUGAUUCUUCAAUACCCUAUGAUUAAUUAUAUCUCUAGAAAUAAAACAAAAUCACAUCCAAUUUCAUAUUUGUAUUGUUGUUGUUGCAUGUAAUGGAAACAAAAUAUGUAAAGAACUUGACCUUGAUGAAGACAACAGCCAAGGUUUAAGCUCUUUUUCGGCGCGGUGGUUGCAAGCUCCGGCGUGGUGGUCACCGGCGAAGGUUGUCCGUUCCUGAUAUUUUUAAAUGGGUUUUGUAGAGAAGAUGGAGGGGACUCUUUUUAUGGUGAUGGAUUAAGUUUGAACUCGAUUUCGUUGUAGGAGUCCAACCCUUCACUAUAUUUAACUUGCAUUAGUGAAUGGUGAAUGUUACUUAUAUAUAUUAGAGUAAAUUACACUCCCCUCCCCUCAAAGAUGCUUGAAUUACACUUCCCUUCCUUUAAAGAUGCUUGAAUUACACUCCCCUCCCCUCUUAUGUUAUGUUAAAAUAUACACUCCCCUCCCUUGAAAAUUAAAAUUUAUACUCCCUUCUUGUGUUAAAAUAUACACUCCCCUUCCUUGAAAGUAAAAUUUAUACUCCCCUCCCUUAUAAGAUGUUUGAAUUACAACCUCCUCCCUUAAUAAUUAAAUAGGGACUACACUUUAAUCCAUUUUAACAUAAGUAAAUAUUUUUAUAAUAUAUAUUAAUUUUGAAUCACCAUUUAAAAUAUAUAAAUUCGUUUCUUUAUAAUCUAAAUUUAAAUUUAAAUAUUUUGUAAUUAAUUUUAUAAUUUAGAGUACAAAAUUCACUUUUAAAUAACUAUACUUAAUCGAUUUUAGUAAUUUUUCACAUAUUUUAAUUUUAUUUUGGGUUGUUUCAUAUUUUAUAACAGGGUUUAAAACUAUAUGUUAAUGAAUUGUGAAUAAAAAAUAGAGAAAGAUGUGUAUUCAUAAUUUGAUUAUAUUAAAAUGAACCCGCAAUGUUUUUUUUCUUUGAAGUGUGCUAGAUUAUUUCUUUGCUAGAUUAUUGGAAAUAAAAAAAAAUUAUUGAGGGAUUAAAGCGUAGAUUUUAACUUAAGAGAUGAGGGAAAUGUAAUUCAAUCUUCUCUCAAGGGAGGGGAGUGAAAUAUUUUCUAAUAUAUUUUGAAUAAGAGGGGAUGAGAGUGUAUAUUUUAACAUAAGAGGGGUGGGGAGUGUAAUUUACUCUAUAUUAUACGAUAGGAAUGCUAACAAAAUUUCUUAUUUUAAAAUCUGAACUCAGGAUUUAACUCAAGUUAUUCGGGAUGGUUCAUAGGAGUAUAUAUAUGUCCCAAAAUCUUGAUUGCAUUCUAAAAAAAAAUGUGAUGAAUAAUUGAGAACAAACAAACGUGUUAUAUUCUGCAAUGAGAAAAGUUAACAAAAUUUUAAAAAAUAUUUGCUUGCAAUUUUAAAUUCAUAAUUUUUCUGUACCAUUUAAACAAAAACCAUCUUAAAUUUUAACAACAAAAGAAAGCAAUUCUUUUAACUGUGCCAAUAAUAAUAACACACUCCAAAAGCUCAAACGGUAAAAACAUUAUUCUUUGUUAGCUAAACAUGUGAUGAUAGUAAUAAACACAUUUCUCCCCCACAAAAAAGGCAAAAGAAAAUUUUGAUGUUCCAAAAAAGAAAAAGCGCAAACGUUCACAAAAUCCCGUAACGACUGCACAAGUUCAUCUACCAUCUAAAGGGAUACUUUACCAACAAUACAGUUGACAUAAGCUUUCGGCGAUGUUUGUUCAGUAGUAAGCCUUGCGAGGAUUGUUCUGGAAAAACAAACACAAUCACAAUAUGAAAACAAGGUUACAUAGUAACUCAGACAUCACUACAAAACAAUUCAUAAUAGAAGGGGAAAUUACCAGAGGAUUUGGCCUGUGACGGUAGCCAAGCAUCAUCCGCUUUUUAUACUGCUCAUAGAUGUCAUCCUCAGGAGUCACCUCCCCAGGUUGGACAGCACCUACUCCCAAGUUAUCUUUCUUAACACUGCCUGCCAUUAUAGGAUCUGCAAUACCCUUCCUAGAGCCCCCUAGACCCUCACCUGCAUUAUCAUCAAUGUCAGCACAAGAAAGAAAUGGCAAGUAUAUAAAUGUCAUACAACAGUUAGAGCUCGAGUUGGACUCUUAAAUGCAUUCAUCGACUUGAAAGGAAAAACACUUGAAGAAAUUUUAAGCACCUUCUUUCCAACCCAUUUUUGAUAAAAGCUUGUGGCCCACAUUAUAAGCCUGAAUUUUGGCCCUCUCAGCAGCCUCCUUUGCAGCUUUCAUAGCUGCUGCAUCGUUACAGCUAGCCAAGAACUUCUCCAGUUCUUCCUGAGGAAUAUAAUCACCCAUGUGAUGGCCUUUUUUCCCUGAAGCUGAAGCUGCGUUCAAGAUAAAGCAUUCAAGAGAUUAUUACAUUUACAAAAAGAAAAUUCACAAUUCAACCUGUUCAAAUAAAAUGAAAACAAAUCCAAUAAAAACCAGGUAACAAUCACCAUCAUAAGUUGAGCCUUGAAGAGAUGGAGGAGGGGGCAUCUCAUCUUUUGAAUGCCUAGGUUGUUUGAACUUUUCUUCCUGUGCGGCUUUCUUCAUGUAAAACUCCAUUAGUGCUAAAGAAUUGGCCUUUGAUGAUCCACCGGGCUCAUCUGAACAGAUAUACAAAACGCAUGCAUCAAUAAAAUGUUGCAUACAAAGAUACAUGAGGUUCUUGACAACUGAGAGUCCUACAAACUCGGAUACAAAUAUAAUUUCCAUCCACUAAUCCUUUUGAAAACAACAUGAUGGCAGCUAAAGUAUCAUAAUGAUGGCUAAACUGCCAUGCUGUAUAAGUAUCCCUUACCCGAGCUUCCAACUGAAAAUGCUUGUCCUGCAGAUCCAGAACCCCUUGGUACGUCAGCACUAUCAUAUAAAGCAGAGGCAGGGAUUUGGUAAGUUGACUGCUGCUGGGACGAUCUCUGAGGACCAUUUGUUGGUCUGGAAGAUGGAAUGCUUGUCCCUGCUGAGGGUUAAAUUGUUCAACAUUACAAGCCAAAAUAGACUAAACCAUGUAAAGAAAAAGAGAAAACAUACUGCAGGAAUGAGAGGGAGCCUCAUCUAAUCCCAUAAAGUACAACCAAGACAACACUUCUUAUAUCUACACAUCGAUUGGCGAAUGAGGCAUGGGCAUAUGAUUUACUAAUUCAUUAUUCAAGCAUCAACCUCCCGCCAAAACAACAAUUGCAGUUAUGAAAAACAACUCUCAAGAAAUGUGAAAUUAUAUUUUCCUUCGAUGUGAGAACAGUUGCCAAGGACACCUAGCAAUGUCUUACACAUGGCUAUUUUGCAAGGCGGAGACGGGAUUUUCCCUGCCAUCCCCACCUCCACCCCCGUCCCUAGUAGGGUCAAACAAAUUGAUAAUGACCUUGUCUUCUCCCCAUUGAGGUCAGCAAAUCCCGUCAAUCUUUUUCUUAAUUUUAUUCAUAUGUGUAUGCAAGCCCAGACUUAUUGUCAUGUCUACCCAAAAAACCAAAUAGUAAAUUCAUGAAAAACACUAACCAUUUUGAUAUGCCUGUGGUUCGUUGGACUGUGAAAGGGCCUUCUCCUCUUGAGCAAGCCGAUGUUCAUAAUAUUUAUAGUCAGAACAUUUAACAUCAAAUAAAAACCUGCAUGCUCAAACAACACCACACAUUCAGUUAGAAAUUACAAAUCAUAAGCAAAAGACUGAUGCAACAGGAUUAUGAGUUAACUCCAAACAUACUUGAAAGGUGAGUCUCCAGGGUUUUUUUGCCAUGUAACAUCCUCAAAUGGCCUUCCAUUUUUAGCCACAAAACUUGCAAAUUUGUCAGCAACUUUCUUCACUGUAGGAUCACUUGGGGGAGGAGGUGCUGCAUAUCACUUAUAAAACUGAUUAAUACCAAGAGCAUGAACAAGGGAAUGGAAAUUACUCUUGUAGCAGGCGUGCCAAUACCCCAUUCUUGAUAGGUACUUGAGGAAUAAGCUGCAUUCAUGACACAAGAUAUUCAAAGACGUUUUCUCCUCUUUGCUGAAUGUCUUUUCAGUUAGCAAAGAAGGAAUAUGUGGUGAAUACUUCUUCAAUAACGAAACUGGGCUUAAUGUAGAGGACUCUACUUUUUACGAGAAGAAAACGGCUAAAAAAAUAGUGUAGAUCUUCCAUCAAAUAAAUACCUCAAGGAGUAGUUCAGGACAUGCUUCACAAAUACACCCAAGAGGACACUCAUUUUAUACACCUCUCUACUUCCUUUUUAUGAUCCAGGGGAUAAAUAUGACAAAUAAUUUUCUAUUUUAAAUCAAUACAUGUAUGUUCUUUCAUCCUCAUAUGAAAAAUAUUGUGAUGAAGGGAUAAAAUUUAUGAAUGGGGAGAUCAGCAUUCAAGAAGGAAAAAGCAAGUUUUCCAAGAUGCAAAGAGAACAAGAAAUAGGAAAGAGACAGGGAGGAAACAAAAUCAGAAAGUAGAUGCCAUCUAAGACAUAUUGAAUUGACAAAAAGCUGCAGUGAUCUGUAAGUUAGAAAGAGAGUGUAUGGCGUGCAUCAUCAGGAAACAAAAUUAUCACUAAUCCAUCAACAUGGAUAGACUUGGAAUGACCAACCAUAAUUAAAAUAUAGAAUCACUACGUAAUAAUUUUAUUGGAUAAUUCCUACCAACUAUCUUGCAUAAGAUUUGAGUGAGAAGUAAUUACCAACAUCAAGCUGUCUUGAUGAUUGCUCAAUGCCGUCAUCCUGACCCAAUUUUUGCCGUUUUGUCAGUGCAUCAAUUGAAACAUACCCAGCAUCUAUUUCAUCUUCAUCGUCAUCAGCCAACUUAACAGGGGGUGGUACUAGCUUUGACUUUUGUUUCAAGCUGAAAGCAAGUUUGCCACUGGAACCACCCUGUGAAGAUUUCUUUGCAUCAUUAGCCUUACUAAUGGAGGGUUUGGAAGUCAGAGGUCCUGAAACAACUUUAAUUGGUUUAGAGUCCUCUGGCUUGGCAUUUUUCCCCCUCUCCUGCUCUUGUUGGAGCUGCCUGAACCUCUCCAUAAACGAACCAUCAUUGACAAAGAGGGUAGGAGGUGGUCCCUUGUCCAUCGGUUAAGGUCCAAAAUAAAUAAUGUGGCUUUCAGCAACUCACUGUUUGACAAAAAAGCUGCAAAGCUUUUUAGAUGUUGCAGUUAAAUUUAAAGUCAUGGUUUCUUUCUAUCCAAUAUGUGGUGUCAUUUAAACCUUCAAAGAGAUAAUAGUGUUGUAUAUUUAUGUACAAAUAUAUAACAUAGGUCACAAGAACAAUAAACAUGAAUACCAGACCAAACAUCAUCAACAAGACAAUAAACCUCGUCAGAAAUCAUUCAUAAAUGAAACGCAGACUAAGAGAUAAAAGACCGUUUAAUUAUGAAAUUCAUAAUGAUCACGAGUGCAGACAUGAACUAUGGACAAUAGACUCUGCUGAAUGAAAUCACCAUACCAAUUCUUCCAUCAAACUAAGAAAUGCUAAAAAAAAUGAAAAAAAGGAACCCACUUCCAAUUCAAAACCGUAUUGACAAGAGGCAAUACUUCACAGAAUAAGAAAUAUAGGAAACAAUAAUUAAAAAUUCUUCUUUACUGAAAGAUAAUAGAAUUUCAAUUUUUUUAUUGAUCUGAAUUUCCAUGACAGACAUUCUAUGCUUCUCAAGCAUCCAUAAUGGAAGCAAAAUACGAGCUGAGAAAAAAAUAAAAUUUUGGAAAAUUUAUGCCUUAGAAGAAAAGUCUAAAAGAACAUCACUAAUGCCCUCCCAACUUUUGAAGUUUCAUACCUGCCAAAUUAAAAAGGAAAUCCUUCUUAGAAAAUCCAAGUUCGUAAGCAAAACUGUAAAAUGGCAAUGCUCCAAAGUUCUAGUUUAUCUUAAACCAGUUUACUAACCCAUUAUUCAUAACGAAACAGAAAACCACCGCUGGAAUAUGCAUAAUUGCCACAACAGUUAAACCUACCCAACUGUGCUAUAAUCUAGCUGGAAUAAAAAACCACCAAUCUAGUCUCUAAACUACCACUCUCUCCAAUUUAGUACCUAAAUGAUAUACAUAUGAUAAGUAGUCCCGAGUAUAUGAAACCCGUAUAUGAAAAUCCUUCAAUUUAGUCCCUGACAUCUUAAUAACAGGGACUAAGUUAACAGAUUUUAUAUACUUUAAGGACUAAAUUGAAGAGUGAGCAAUAGUAGUUUAGGGACUAAAUUGAAGGUUUAUUCAUUCUAGCUACUUCAUAUUAAGAAAAAAGCUAUUAUUUUUUUGUUGCCUUUGGCAUCGCUUUGAACAUAAAAUUACUAUUUUUGGUGUGAACCAGAUACCUAAGAACGCAAUUGCAUCGACUAAUCCC